rnacentral:lncRNA from 1 species
UUUGUUAGGUGCUAUUGCAACAAAAUAAAGAGCAUAGGAUGCACAUAAAGUGCCCAUAUUACACUUAAAAAAAGUGCUAAAUAGCACUAAAAGGGUUUUUUUUGGCUCGUAAUCAUAGGGGAGCCACUUUAAGUGCUAUAUAGCACCUAUAUCUUUAAAGAUGGUGCUAUAUAGCACCUUACCACCCAUUACAGGUUCCCGUUUUUUGCUUUUGUUAAUUGUAAAAUAAAUAAAAAGAAAAAGUAGAUAGAAUACAAAAAGAUUAGAGAAGCUAGUGUUUGUGUGUGUGUGUGUGUGUUUUUAUAAAGUAUUUUUAUCAAUGAAAUUCCAAAAGCAUAAUCUGGCAAGGUAAUUUAAUCAACAGGCCAACAACGUUAAAUACAGUAUGCACAAAAAUUAUGAUCCAUAAUUUUUUUCUAGUUAAGUAAAAAAACAAAAAAAAAAAAAACAACCAAACAAAAAAAGUAUAUUUUGUUUUUCAUUCCCAGAGUUGUUAAGCGCUAAAGUAUUGUGCAAAGUAUGCAUACUGUGUAAUACAAUUCAUGCAAUUUCUCCGUAGGCCUAUGUGAAUGAAGGAAAAUGAAGUUUUGUGGUCUGUCUCCUUAAAGAAAAGAGUAAAAUGAGUAGUGCUGUCUGGCAAGUUUUAUUCUUCAUCAGCAGUAUCCUACAUAAACGCAUAAAAACUAAACCGUACAAUUCUACAUUUAAUAAAAAAAAAAAAAAAAAAAAUACUUGCAUGAUUGUGCAAUUAGACUCGACCCUGUUCCCGCCAAUCAUCAUUCACAGAAAGCACGAGGCAGCCGCGAGAGAAGGAAACGAUACAAACAGCGAAGUCAGGUUUAUAGCAACCCCAUCCAUUUUGAGAGGAAGAGUUAUUCAGUUCAUGGAUGUUUUAUUGAUGCCGAGCUACCCAACUAAGCCUGAAGAAACUUCACAUAGGCAAAAGAAGAUUCAUCGCUCCGGAAUAACAGACCUGGAUCUCAAGACCUGUGCUGAGAUAUAAAGCUCUUGAGAAAAAGAUUGCAAAGCCUUGAGUUUUUUUAUUUCUUAUUUCUGCAAGGCUUUAUAGCCUGGAGAGAGAGAGAUGACCAGUAGUUUUUGAAGUUGAUGGAUUUUUUGAGCGUUGUUUUGAGUGAUGCAGCUUUUGCCGAUUGUAGUAAUACUUUUUGGUAUUAUAAAUUGAUUUCGUUUAACUGCUGCUGAAGCCUUGAUUGCGACUGGUUCAUGCACAUAGAUGAUUUGUACUGCAUGUUAUCACAAUAUCACUUUGUCAUGUUCUUUUCUAAUUGUUACAAAAGUAAAAUGAACUUCAAAGAGACAUAAAGUGACCUAUAACAAAGCAUCCAGACAGUGGUCGAGCAAAUCUGAUAAAACUGACAAAUUGGCCAAAAGCUGAAAAGGGCUACUGCCAAAAAUUGUGUACAUAUUUAAUAACCUUUCUCAGUGCAGAUGUGGAUUGACUGUAAGAACGGGAGACUGGUGUUGGUUUGGCACAAGGUUAAUUUCAGGUUUUUAAUUGGGUGCUGUCACAAAAAUGUGGAUUUUUACCCUCUUGAUCCACACUCAGCGAUUCUAUCAAGACAUUAGAAAAUUAAAACCUGUCAAGCUGAAGACAUUUUGUCAAAUUUGCUAUGUCAAAACAAAAAUGAACCCC